ACGCCCAACCUUCUCCAGGUCUGUCUUUCCGUAACCGUGUUGACCUGACGGCGAGAGAGCAAGACCAUAAGAUCCAUCUGGUUCACUCCUUCAGAUGGGAGCAGAGCCAUUUUACACACUGGGUGAUGGUUGUCGUGGUGCCGGUGGUUAAAGGCGGGUACAGUACGCUGGGAAUGCUGUGUUAAGGACUUCAGGAGUGUUGCUGGGAUACAACAUCAUGCCGGUCCACCAGAUUGUUGUGGCUCCAGUCCGGGACCCAAAGAGCAGUCCUCGCUCCAAGGACAAGCUUGAGCGCUCUCGCAUGGAGGAGCGCAGGCAGCAGGACACGACUCAGCAGACGUCCACCAAGGUCAGACAGCAGCACCAGCCAAAGUCACCAGUGGUGCAGGGGAAGCACCAGUACCCGCAGCAGCCUGGGAGAGGAAGAAUAAUUGUUUUACUGGUCCUUUCUAAUAAGUGUUUAUUGUCCACUCAAAAGAAGGACUUACAGGUUUCCAUGUCCGAGCAGCAAUCACACACGCCACUGCUCCACAUCCCCGACGUCACUGAUUGUGUUGUGGUGGUUACGCUGGUGAUGGCUGGCCGAGGCUGCUGUUGCUGGGGUUGCUGCUGGUAGGGCUGCUGCUGGUAGGGCUGCUGCUGGUAGGGCGGUUGCUUGUAGGUAUGCUUUUUGUAGUGUGGCGGGUGUUGCUGUUGGUAGGCCAUGUCUAGCAACGGUGAAAAUGUUUAGAUUAAUUUUUUAACAUGUUUCGCUUGGUUUCUUGUGUUAUACAUAAACUGAUAUCAUGGCUAACCCCGAACAUAAGCCAAAUAAAAGGACUUUAAGCUAGCUAGAAUGAAAAUGGCGACUAACGUGUGGUGCCAUAUUCAUGAAAGUAAAAGUCUUACCUGAUUGUAUUAAAUGCUGAUAAACUCAACAUUAUUGCAACUUUACGUUCAUCUUAUGUCGUCCUCUUUGCAUGGGCAUGCCUUUGGUUUAAGAAAAUCUAUUUUAGUGAACCAAAGGCAUGCCUUGGAUUCAUUUUUGUUCUGAAGCAACGUUAACGCUUCACUGCAUUUACGACUGAAAGGGGUUCCUAAGACAUACAUUCGUAUCGUGGAUAUUUAUGAAAGCCAAAAGGCACGAGUAACCCCUGACUGCAGCUCGCAGAUCGAGGAGGGGCUUAAGUUUUCCUUAAAUGUGGGCUGGCUUAAACGUUUAAGCCAGCCCACAUUUAAGGAAAAUUCCGCGCAGUAUUAUGGACUCAGACGGAAAUACGUUCUCCCGCUUUCUGCAGAAAGCGGGAGAACGUAUUUCCGUAAGUCCAUAAUACUGCGCGCUUUUCUGCCUAGAGGUAAGUUGCCGCUCUCUGUUCGUGUACAUUAUAAACUAAUGUAUGGAUAGACCAACAAGUUGAUCAUUAAAAUGUUCAUGGAAGUAACAUGCAUAGGCCUCAUGUUUAUGUCAUGAGGUUGUUUGAAAAAUAGCAUUUAGGCAGUGUUUUUCAGCUUUUUUUAACGCCAUGCCCUCGUGCAUGGCGUCCACAUAUGAGGACAAUUAAAUAAACUCCAAUAUUUUGCUUAUCAUGGUAAUAUUCUCCAAACCACAUUGGUAAGAUAUGUUUCGUGAAACAUUGAAACCUGAUUUAAAUUUUGCUAUUCCCCUCCAGAUUUGCCUGCACACUGCACCACGACAUUGCACCACAUAACAUAACACACACAUUACAAAACCAACAGUUAUUUUAAGAACUCCUCUCUGUCUGUCUGUCUGUGUCUGACUGACUGACUGAUGGCCUGUCUGUCUGACUGACUGACUGUCUUUCUGUCUGACGGACCGUCUGUGUCCUUAUUUUCUCUGGCCGGUAGGUUCACUGCAAUGCUUAAAAAAAAAUCAUAUUUCAUAUCCAGGUUUAUAAAAACAGUUACUAAUGCGCUAUAUUUGUGUGUGUUUCUACCCUAGAGUAUGUCUGAGAGAAAUAAAGAAGCUACUUUCAUUGACCUUGUGUUGCCUUCGGAAAACAUGCUGCAAAUUAGGAGAUGGUGGUGUCUCGCUCUCCUGCAGAACUUCCCCAUACCGUCUGAAGAAGACCGAUUGCAGGACAGAAAACGGCGACGAGUGCAAGGAGGGCUACAGACGCUGGGAAAUUGACAGAACUGGAAACCGGGAACAGGGUUGCCUGCUAUGGGCCAGAAAAAUACCUUGAUACUUGCCUUUGUUAAACAUUUAUGGAAGCUUUUUUUUUUUCUUCUUUACCGAUCAAAUUUUUUUUGCCUUGGGUGAAAAUAAAAAUCAAUGAUGCAAAGUCUUCUGUCUUUGGUUUAUUUGACUUAGCUAAUAUAAUUGAGUGUACGAAAUAAUAUGUGUCUAUA